UACGAAGGGGGCUAGCGUUGCUCGGAAUCACUGGGCGUAAAGGGUGCGUAGGCGGGUCUUUAAGUCAGAGGUGAAAUCCUGGAGCUCAACUCCAGAACUGCCUUUGAUACUGAGGAUCUUGAGUUCGGGAAGAGGUGAGUGGAAUUGCGAGUGUAGAGGUGAAAUUCGUAGAUAUUCGCAGGAACACCAGUGGCGAAGGCGGCUCACUGGUCCGAUACUGACGCUGAGGUGCGAAAGCGUGGG
rnacentral:rRNA from 1 species